AGAGAGAGACAUGCGCGCAUAUCAAUAAGCGGAGGAAAAGAAACUAACAAGGAUUCCCUUAGUAACGGCGAGUGAAGCGGGAAGAGCUCAAAUUUGAAAUCUUCAAGGUUUUACCUUGACGAAUUGUAGUUUAAAGAAGUGUUUUCUGCUGAAGUUUUGGUAAAAGUUCUUUGGAAUAGGACAUCAUAGAGGGUGAGAAUCCCGUAUUUGACCAUUAUUUUCAGGCUUUGUGAUACACUUUCAAAGAGUCGGAUUGUUUGGGAAUGCAGUCCAAAAUGGGUGGUAAAUUUCAUCUAAAGCUAAAUAUUGGCGAGAGACCGAUAGCGAACAAGUACCGUGAGGGAAAGAUGAAAAGAACUUUGAAAAGAGAGUUAAACAGUACGUGAAAUUGUCAAAAGGGAAGCGUUUGACACCAGUGUUGUUUCUCUCGAAAAUCAAUUAAAAAUGGCCUCGAUUUUGUAUUGUUGAGACCUUAAAAGCUCACUGUACAUUUUUCGUGUCUUUUUUAAUGCACUUUUCGUUUAACAAGUCAACAUCAGUUUCUUUUGUUGUAAAAGGGUCAUUGGAAGGUGGCUUUCUUUUCGGAGAAAGUGUUUAUAGCCUUUGGCCUCUGCAAUCGGAGAGACUGAGGUCUGCAGCGUAGACUCUUCGGGGUUAGAUACAUUUGUGCUAAGUUAUAGCUUUUUAUAGACAACUUGUUGACUAUAAUUAGUCUUGUAGCUUACUCGCUUAUGCUAUUUACCUACGCCUUAGGAUGUUGAAGAUGUAGCACAUCA
rnacentral:rRNA from 1 species